rnacentral:lncRNA from 1 species
CUCCCAGACCAUAGACAUGAUGGUUCUACCUUGUGAUAUGCUUAUCAGCCACUCCCUUGUUGCUUUCAGUCCCUUCCCACAAGAACAGAGAAGUGCAUACUUCUGUCCAUGACACCUGCCCAUGGUCUCCAGUGAUGCCACAGCCUUGAAGAAAAAGACUCACAAGAGUGAGGGAAGCCCUCAUUAGCC